rnacentral:tRNA from 1 species
CGAUCUAUGGCUUAGUUGGUUGAGGCACCGCCGAUGACAGGCGAGAGUGCGGGUUCGAGUCCCGCUAGAACGG